AGAGUUUGAUCCUGGCUCAGGAUGAACGCUGACAGAAUGCUUAACACAUGCAAGUCUACUUGAAUUUGGGUUUUUAACUUAGGUUUGGGUGGCGGACGGGUGAGUAACGCGUAAAGAACUUGCCUCACAGCUAGGGACAACAUUUAGAAAUGAAUGCUAAUACCUAAUAUUAUGAUAAUAGGGCAUCCUAUAAUUAUGAAAGCUAUAUGCGCUGUGAGAGAGCUUUGCGUCCCAUUAGCUAGUUGGAGAGGUAACGGCUCACCAAGGCGAUGAUGGGUAGCCGGCCUGAGAGGGUGAUCGGCCACAAGGGGACUGAGACACGGCCCUUACUCCUACGGGAGGCAGCAGUGGGGAAUAUUGGACAAUGGACCGAGAGUCUGAUCCAGCAAUUCUGUGUGCACGAUGAAGUUUUUCGGAAUGUAAAGUGCUUUCAGUUGGGAAGAAAGAAAUGACGGUACCAACAGAAGAAGUGACGGCUAAAUACGUGCCAGCAGCCGCGGUAAUACGUAUGUCACGAGCGUUAUCCGGAUUUAUUGGGCGUAAAGCGCGUCUAGGUGGUUAUAUAAGUCUGAUGUGAAAAUGCAGGGCUCAACUCUGUAUUGCGUUGGAAACUGUAUAACUAGAGUACUGGAGAGGUAAGCGGAACUACAAGUGUAGAGGUGAAAUUCGUAGAUAUUUGUAGGAAUGCCGAUGGGGAAGCCAGCUUACUGGACAGAUACUGACGCUGAAGCGCGAAAGCGUGGGUAGCAAACAGGAUUAGAUACCCUGGUAGUCCACGCCGUAAACGAUGAGUGCUAAGUGUUGGUCUCAUAAGAGAUCAGUGCUGCAGCUAACGCAUUAAGCACUCCGCCUGGGGAGUACGACCGCAAGGUUGAAACUCAAAGGAAUUGACGGGGACCCGCACAAGCGGUGGAGCAUGUGGUUUAAUUCGAAGCAACGCGAAGAACCUUA
rnacentral:rRNA from 1 species